ensembl:lncRNA
GUGCACUGUAAAAAUUAUUUGUAAUUUUUUUCAAAGCUGUAAAUAAAACAGCAUGUUUCACAAGAAAAUACUUAGUUUUUCAUUUUCAAAUUUCACGUUUAAUUUUUGUAUCCAUAUCUGCCUGGUCUCAUAUUAGGGUUUACAUUAAAGAAAACUGACAGCAAGACUGAAUUAUGUGUUUUUAUUUUUCUUGCGUCAAGGGGGAAUUGUAGAAAAAAAAAAAAAACAGGUUCUUCAGGAUGAUAUGGUUCUUAAUAGAAAUGUUACUGUGUGUAAAGAACCUUGAAAGGACCUUUACAGUGAACUUUUAUAAUUUGUACUUUGAUAUUUUUGUGAUUAGGAUCAGCAAAGGACUGCAGAAACCAGGAGAAUAAAUAGGGAGACAAUUGAGGAGGGUAAUGAGGAAGACACAGGUGGAGCAACUGAAACAAUGAUAUAACAAGAAGGGUGGGGUCAGACAAUAGACAGGAGAGCACAUGGCAUUAACAGCAAACAACAAGCAGUAAAAAAAACACAGUGACAGCUGGUGGCCAACCAGGGCACACCAGCAGAACCAUGACAGAAUUGACCACCAUGGUUGAGCAGACUCAUGAGUAGGAGUAGGCUCUGGAGCAGACUCGUGAACUGGAGUGGACUCUGAAGGCUCCUGGACUGGAGCAGGUUCUUGAGUGGACUCCGUAGCGGCCUCCAUGGCUGAGACAAGAAGAGCAGAUCACUUAGUGAUGGCCUUCGUGGCAGCAGCAGUGAAAUCGGGUGGCUCUGUAGUGGUCUCCAUGGCUGAGAUAAGGAGAGCGGGCCACUCAUCGACAUCAGAAACCACCUAGGACCACCAGAGUCGGGUCCUUCAGGGACACUGGACUAGGGACCACCAGAGUCAGCCCCUCAGUAGCACUCCUGAACUCCUUAGCAAAUUCCCUCAAGUCAGCCCCCGUUGAUGCAGUGAACUUACUGUUGAUACCUGAAGCAUGUGUUGGUAGAGGGGGCUGCAGGUAGUGGAGGCUGGUAGCUGAAUUGAGCCCAUUCUCCGCUGAGUCCUCAUGUGGCCAAACAGUUCUGUCAGGUUUGCAGGUAGAGAUGAGGCAAGGUCUCAAAUGCAGGAAGAAAUGGUAUUUUAACUGCUAAAAAUAAAACAACAAAAAAUUACCUUGAGGGGGAAAGCGGGCAGGGCAGUACACAUACAUUCAAACAAC